rnacentral:piRNA from 1 species
UAAUACUGGCCAGUUUAUUUGGCAGACCUGC